CGUCGUCGACGUACGUCUACGAGAGGGUUUCGAGUUCUGGCUCAGGAUGAACGCUAGCUACAGGCUUAACACAUGCAAGUCGAGGGGCAGCAUUGGAGUAGCAAUACUCAGAUGGCGACCGGCGCACGGGUGAGUAACACGUAUCCAACCUGCCGCUUACUCGGGGAUAGCCUUUCGAAAGAAAGAUUAAUACCCGAUGGUAUAAGGAGUUCGCAUGUUCUCUUUAUUAAAGAAUUUCGGUAAGCGAUGGGGAUGCGUUCCAUUAGAUAGUUGGCGGGGUAACGGCCCACCAAGUCUACGAUGGAUAGGGGUUCUGAGAGGAAGGUCCCCCACAUUGGAACUGAGACACGGUCCAAACUCCUACGGGAGGCAGCAGUGAGGAAUAUUGGUCAAUGGACGAGAGUCUGAACCAGCCAAGUAAGCGUGAAGGAUGACUGCCCUAUGGGUUGUAAACUUCUUUUAUAAGGGAAUAAAGUGAGGGACGUGUCCCUUUUUGUAUGUACCUUAUGAAUAAGGAUCGGCUAACUCCGUGCCAGCAGCCGC
rnacentral:rRNA from 1 species